rnacentral:tRNA from 1 species
GCGGAUGUGGCGGAAUUGGCAGACGCGCCAGACUAAGGAUCUGGUAGAGUAAAAUCUGUGAGAGUUCGAGUCUCUCCGUCCGCA